ACAAGAAAUGUUGAUUUUUCUGUUCAUUUCUGAAAACAAGUCAAAAACACAUUGUUGGUCAAAAAGUGAUUCAAGCGCUCUGAAAAGCAUUUUGUACUCAUAAAAACAAGAAAUGUUGAUAUCUCUGUCAAUUUCAAUGCAAACGUGUUACUAAGCUUACCAAAGUGUUUAUAGGGCCAUACUCCACCAUUUGGAAGUGGAAUACAUUAGUUUUGAGCAAAAUCAACAAUGUAAGGUCAGAAACACAUUGUUGGUCAAAAAGGGAUUCUAGCGCUCUGAAAAGCAUUUGGCACGAUAAAAACAAGAAAUGUUGAUUUUUCUGUUCAUUUCAGAAAAACAAUCAAAAACACAUUGUUGGUCAAAAAGUGAUUCUAAGCGCUCUGAAAAGAAUUUUGCCGGUAUAAAAACCAUAAAUGUUGGUAUCUCUGUCAAUUUCAAUGCAAACGUGUUACUAAGCUUACCAAAGGGUAAUAGGGCCAUACUCCACCAUUUGGAAGGGGAAUACAUUAGUUUUGAGCAAAAUCAACAAUGUAAGGUCAAAAACACAUUGUUGGUCAAAAAGUGA